GCGGAAGUAGUUCAGUGGUUAGAAUACAACCUUGAUAAGCGUGAGGUCGAUGGUUCGAGUCCAGUCUUCCGCU
rnacentral:tRNA from 1 species